rnacentral:lncRNA from 1 species
CGGUGGACUUAGGGUUUAAAGGCAGUAAAUUAGUAACUGAUAUAACGGUCACUGUUAACUUUCAUUGUUUCUUUGGAGGCUGCAAAACGGUGGCCUAGAUUCGUGUAAAAGCUAUUUUCUACCGACCACAUCUUUCUGGGUCAUGGCUCUUAGCAUCAUUGUUGAGAACUCCCAGUUUCUCUCCCAGGUGCUUCUGCCCUCUCCAGGUUUUUGUCCCUUCCUCUGUCUCCUCCUCCACACAGAAGAGAAUGGGAACUUCUCAGGGGAUGGUGAGAGAGAAACAGUAACUGCUGACCCUGGUAGUGACUUGAAGACGGACUGAUUCUCCUCCCUGCUCCAUUUCCAGAAGCCAUGAUCCAGCUGUGAAGGCCCAGUCACUCCAACUACGUGGGCCGCUGAAAAUCCAGUUUCAACCUGCUUCUCUUUCCCUCUCUUCUCCAGUUCAACCCCAUCCUUCAAAAACUCACCUAAUUCCUCUGGGAAUUAGUCUCUUCCCCCAGGGUCACCAAUUCUGCUUGCUAAUCUCCUGCACCCCUCUGAUCCCCUUCUUGCUUUCCUUCCUCCUACCCAGGCUUUCCUGGCAAAGGCCAACAAAAUAACAAAGACUAGGGAAUAAGUAAACAGCAGCCUCCCCUCGCUUGGGAGUCCCUGGAAGCGCUUCCUUCAUUCACACCGAUGAGCCUCGGGAUUUCAAAGUGCCUGGCACUGCUUCAAGGCCAGUUACAGCGGCCACGGAGUCAUUGUAUUGAGAUGAAGGUGGAUCCAGGCGGUUUCUAUUUUUAGGUUCGAUUGUUUCUGGAAAAGGUUGCACAUCACAUAAUAGGAAAUCCCAAGAGUGUGAAGACUGUUUCCUGCCAGUGGAAGCCUUGUUGUGGUUGGCUGUUCUGACCAUAGAGACACUGAGAAUUCCGGGAAUGAGGGCCAGGGAUAUAGGCCCUGGUAUUGGACUUGUCAGAAUGUGUGAAGCGCUGGGCUCCACCUUCCACAUCCCAUGAGCCACGUGUGUGGCCUCUCAGGCAGGCAUCAUUCAAAGGUCCCUGCAGUGGUUCCUCAAGACGAAACUGAUGAGCAGUUUGAAGAUUUCAUCAUGGCUAUCAUUGACUUUAUAAAUGGUUCGCACGUUGCUGAUGCGAAUCCUCGGAGUGAUGGAGAUGAGAGUGACGGUGGUGUUAGGAAUGCAGCUGCCAGCUAUAAGCUCUUUCACACGGUGGAACUGUAGCCUGUUAUUGUGGCAUGCAUUGGCUUCAGGGGCAAUUUGAUGGAGGUUUCAUUUUCUACCCCACGAGGGCAGUGCACCUCCAAUGCCACAUGGUAAAUUCCAGACCAGCAACCAUGCUGAAAUUGGGAUUCUUCUGGAGUUAGGUAAAGGGUAAGCCCCGAUAGACUGUGAACAGUGCCUCACCGGCACCCAAGCCGGAGUCUCAGCAGGAUUCCUCUAAGCAACUAAACUUAGUUCAGUGCCUCGAUUCUGCCAGCUGCUCCCUUUCCACCGAGCAGACAUCGCCUGGGUAUGUCUACCCUCGUCCCGCCUGUGUCACUGCUGUGCAGCUGUGUAGAAACAUGCUGAGAAUGAGGGUUCCCUGGCACGAUGGUUCACUUCUUGCGGGGCAGAGAAAUGUUUGUGUUCUCAUUUUGGCCUCCUAUAUGUGGCCAAUAAAGAAAUAAUUAAGAAAGUUAGAAUGCCUACUGUUAACCACGAGACAGAGAUGUGUGGGGGAGUGGUGGGAGCCUGGAGAGAAGGCUGAAGCUUUCUCAGUAACAGGCAGAGCUCUUCAGGGUUUUCUAGCAGGAAGGCACUAUGUAGGAAGGGUCUUCUCUUGGUAGGUCCACUGUCUGCCUCUUUAUGAUAUUCACCUUGCUCUUUCACGAUUUUCUUCUUCUCUUUCAUGUUUCAACAUGCAAAGUCUUCACCUCAACUGCCAUUUUUUUUCUACAGAACCACGUCAAUCAUUCGUGCUCACCCCUUAUCCUGAUGUCCUUUCUGAGAGGAAGCCCCUCCUCCAUCUAGGACAAACUAUAGAAGGUUCCUCGGCAGAUUGGGGCAAAAGUGUGGCACUAAAUGGGGAGAGUGAAAGGCUCUCUUGGAGUGGGGACAUGAGAGGUAGAGACAGACAUACAGACAGAGAGACCAGGAAACAGAGAGAAUGAGAGAGGGACACACACACACACACACACACACACACACACACACACACACAGAGAGAGAGAGACAGACAGAGACAGAAUGAGAGAGAGACAGAGGCAGAGAGAGACACAGACAGAAAGAGAGAGAGAGAGAGAGAGAGAGAGAGAGAGAUGCUGUGAUGUUAGGGGGCACCUUAUAAAGGGUGUGCAUAUUGCACUGGAAAGUAAGCAACUUGUAGUGACAGUGAAAAUGCACGGCACCUGGCAGCAGGCUAUGACUAUGAGCUGCUGAGGCUGCUGCUGAGUCACUGAGAGGCAGGCUGGCAGAGCACCUGAUUUACAACACCUCCCAGACUGCAGAUCCUCUGGUCUCCCAUACUCCUCUUGCCUCAAGCCCUGUCACUCUGCUGCUGGCUGUGGGUGGAAAUUCUGCAGAAGACAGUGGGAGUGGUUGGAAGCCCCUAUUUUUGUGUCAGGCAGGCUAACGGAGCUGAAAAAUCUCAGGAUUAACAGUUGAGGCCCAUCAUCAAGGUUCCCAGAAGUACUUUCCACCCUGCAGAAUCCUGACGUGAAUAGCUACACUUGAAAGAAAAUAGCAGUCCUCACUCCUGCCGUUGAGACCCUGUUGACUGACUGGGCUGGCUUGGUCAGAAAAGCCUCUCAUCUUCUGGACCUGGUGGCUAACGACUGAUGCUUCUGACUCCAAUGCCACAGGAGCCUGGGACUGCUGCCUCGGCAAUGGACUAUACACUAGUCUCUGACAUUUUGAAUGAUACAUUGGACAUUUAAAUUAUAAUUUAUCCUUCUCAGAUUAUCUUUGUCUCAGCAGAUUUUCACUUGGCCAACAGACACCAUCAAGGAAUCACCUAAGGACUGCAAACUGCACUAGAAGCCGUUACAGAAGAGAGUGUGUUAUCCUUUGCCACUGCACCUCCUCCAGCUUCCGUUCCACUCUCUACCCCACACACAGGCUGAAACUCUAAGUCAAAAGGAAACUUCCUGGCAUAGGGAACAAAAUGGAUAUCUAUAAUGCCAAUUGACAUACCCGAAAAGUGGGCCCAGAUUUGUCAACUGGUAGGUCCAUUAAUGAAAAUAGUCCUACCAUAUAAUAGGAUACUUGCCCUGCUUUAUGCAGAAUAAAGGAGUACUAUAUAGCUUUGAACAAAUUGUUAUUUCUGUACAAUCCAUUCGGGAUUAUAAUGGGGCUGUACUCAAAAAACAUCACAAAAAGAAUCCCUGAGAUAAAAUAAAUGACUGGUGCCCCAUCCAUCUCCAGGCUUCUAGAUAGUAACUCUGAUGUCAGCCAUCAUAGGUCCUUACUUCUACUAAUUACAUUUGGUUCUUAUGUCACUGAUACAAUAACUAAAUGUUAAUCCCUGUCUGGGUCCUAUUAAACUGAUGAUUAUAAGAUUCUAAAAUAAACAAGUACCCAUCACAGAGGUGUACAGUGUCUCCAUCAAUUUGUGCAUUGGAACAGGACAAGCAGACUGAAGGAACAAUCCAGACUUCACUGGUUCCCUCUGUGCUUGGGAAUCGAGUGGUCUUAAUAACAAAGCGAGUGGAAGGAGCUUCCGAAGAAAUAACUUGGAGUUCAGCAAAGAGAAGGGGGCCCUGUGUGAUCAACAGAUGAAUGCCUCCAGGAGCAUAACACUGACCUCGGGCGAGGUCAUGCACAUUCAGAACAGGUCUUCCCAAGUCAGUUUCCUGACACACAUACCGACUGUCUCUGGAACCACUGUCCGAGCACUUGGGAAUCUCACCUUCUUAGAUAACCGGAUUCUGCUGGUUUUGCAAGCUGAGCCGACCUGGAGCAUCCUCUUCUGGGCAGCCUUCGUAAAGAGGCUGUUGAAGGAGAACAAAGCAGAUUCAAGAAAACGGCCAUCUGGUUUCCAUGUUGCAGAUGCCCACAUGAGCCUUGAAAAACUCCAGCAGGGGAGGAGGUGGAAGAUCCCGUGGGCUGGCUGAUGAAGGGAGAAAUGAGGAGGAGACUCUUUCCCCUCAGAAUUCCCACAGUUGAACCGAGUCUUCAUAAUCACACUCAGAUGUGUGAAUUCUCAUGUGUGACUUUGGGAGCCGAAUUAAAACAAAUAGCAUUACAACCAAUCGACAACACAACCAGACCAUGAAAGAAAUGCUGUCACAUCUUCAGACAGUAAUUUUCAGGCAUGCAAGGGGAAGCCACAUGACUGACUCUUCUGGUUCAGCAAAGGUCUGAGGGUUCAUAGAGGGCAGGUUGUGCUGGAGGCUCUCUGAAUGCAAAAUGCAACUCAAGGACCACGGCCAGCAGGCAGGUAAGGUGGAAGGAUAUCCAGGAGCAUAGCACUGGGGCUUUCAGAAACCACAGUAGGAACAAGGAAGAGUAGAUUAGAUUGGGCAGAAGCAGCAACAUUUUAUAUCAAUAACCUAGAACAGUAAUACUUGUGAAAUUCCUUAUUUGAUUAUUUUUCAUGUUUUUCCCCAUACAUGAAUAUACCAUGGUUUACCUGAUCUUAGGCCAAGACCAAGAAGUGACAAAGGGCCUUACAGGAUUGGUGCCUUUGGAAUCAAUGGGCUGAGGCUGAAAGGUACCUGCUUUGAAUUUGUCUUCAAACUCUCAUUCAUGGCGGACCACAAUCAGAGCAGACUGAAGAUGAAAAUUCUGUUGAACCUCAACUCUACAGAUCGCUGGGCAACUGUUUUUUGAGCAACAUGAGACAAAGCCUUGGAAUUGGAGAGAUGGAUUUUCCAGAAGACCCAAGUUAGAUACCAUACCCAUAUAGAUGCUUGCAACUGUACCUAAUUUUAGGAAGAAUUCAUAAAUCUCCAGGUUUCCAGCCAGAUCGGGUCUCUCACUGAAGCUGGGGCUCAAUCAUAGGCUAGACUGACUGGCCAGCAAACCUCAAGGAUCUAUCUCCCUGUCUCCCUGUCUUGGCCUCCCCAGGCCUGGGAUUAUUUGCAAGGUCAGGUCAAUGAGGCUCCACCCACAAUGAGGAACUAUUGGUCAUUGAAGCCUGCUGGAGUAGAAAGAAUGUGUUUUCUUCAAGGGUAUUGCCCUCUGGAUUGCCCAUUUGCAGAACAACAAAAUGGAACAAGCAGCAGUCUGCACUCGAGUCUGUAAGUUCUCAAGUCAUGAACUUCUGACCACGUGUAGUGCACCAGAUAUGGAUCCCUUCAUAUGGAGUGGCUCUCAAGUCCAAGUACACUUGGUUGGUUUCUCUGACAAUUGGUUUGUCACUACUGAAUCAGUAUGCAUGUCCGUGGGAGCAUGGAGCAUGGAGCAUGGAGCAUGGAGCAUGGAGCAUGGAGCAUGGAGCAUGGAGCAUGGAGCAUGGAGCAUGGAGCAUGGAGCAUGGAGCAUGGAGCAUGGAGCAUGGAGCAUGGAGCAUGGAGCAUGGAGCAUGGAGCAUGGGCAUCCUAAUGGUUUCUGGCCUCAGCACAGACCACAAACAUGGCUGCUGGUUACAGUAGGGCCACAGACCUCAGAGGCAGCACAGGUGCCUCAUAUCAAUAUGUCUCCUGGUAGCAGCACAGCCCUCAGACAUCAGAUGGCCUCAUGCUGCACCACAGACCAUGGAUCUCCUCUUGGCAUUUGGUGGUAACAUGAACACAGACGCCAGCUACAGUUGGACUAUGGACCUGACAUGGCCCUAGGAAGUAGCAUGGGCCUGGACAUCACCAUGGCCUCCAGUAGCAGUGCCGGUCACUCAGAUCAGUAUGGCCUCCAGUGGUCCCGUGGCCCAUGGACAUCAACAUGGAUUCAGGUGGCAGCAGAGACCAUGAACAUCUACAUGACCUUUGAGGACCCCAUGGGCCAUGAAGAUCAACACAGACCCUGGCAAUGGAAUAAGUAAUUUAUCAAUUUACACCAUGUGGAUGCUGCUGGAAUAAGAUUCCAUUCACAGAUCUUAUAAGGAAGGCACUUUGACAAGAUGGGCACACUGGCGCAACAGGGACAAAACUUUUGGUGGCAAUGUAGUGUUUUCUGAUUAGAAUGAGGCCUGCUUCACAGGAGGGGAUUUCAUGCUGUAAACUUGGUUAGUUGCCCAUAGCUAGUGAGGUCAUAGGCCCCAGGAUAAAACUACUAUUGUUAUUUUU